rnacentral:rRNA from 1 species
AGUGAACGCUGGCGGCAGGCCUAACACAUGCAAGUCGAGCGGCAGCGGGUCCCCGCGAGGGGAUGCCGGCGAGCGGCGGACGGGUGAGGAACACAUCGGAAUCUGCCUGGUUGUGGGGGAUAACGUAGGGAAACUUACGCUAAUACCGCAUGAGACCCUGAGUCGACGGACUGGGGUGAAAGUGAGGGACCUUCGGGCCUCACGCGACCAGAUGAGCCGAUGUCGGAUUAGCUAGUUGGCGGGGUAACGGCCCGCCAAGGCGACGAUCCGUAGCUGGUCUGAGAGGAGUGAUCAGCCACACUGGGACUGAGACACGGCCCAGACUCCUACGGGAGGCAGCAGUGGGGAAUCUUGGAC